rfam:Klebsiella pneumoniae ISC21, WGS project CBWQ01000000 data, contig: c45
UGUUUGCACUUAGCGGGAAGGGUAAGAACCUUCGACUAAGGUUCGACUCGAGCGCCAGCGAGAGAACGUUGCCGCAGGCAAUGGCGCCGAAGGGCGAGGAGAGAUAGCGACGAGUUAUCCUUCCCCCACCACCA